GCCUCCUCGGGGCUCCCUCCCCUCCCCUCUGAUCUCCAAUAAUCCUUAACCCUUUUUUUCCCCCUGAUGGCCCUGGGGGUGGGGGAAGAGGCCAGGCGGUGGAGCCUUCUGAUUUUGGGGAGGUCUCCUAUUUGACAGGUGCCAGACCACCGACUGAGCUCUUCCUGAAGAUCCCGGGAGUCCAUCCAGAUGGAGAUUUCGAGCUUUGUGGAGGAGAACGGGGCUUUCUACCACAUCAUAUCAAACGUACAUACGAAUAACAUGACUUAUCAAGGAUGAUGUUGACCUGGAUCGGUGGAUGGAAGUAGUGUUCGUCAGCUUUUCCAUUAUAGUCUCUUCACUCAUGUGGGCUGAUGAGUACUCCUCUGAGCGCUCAACCAGAAUUCUCCACAAGGACCCACGGUUCUCUGUACCCUUCACUCCUCUCCAAACUCAGAUUUGGAUUUCCUCAACUCAGGAAAGCCGCCAACUCAGUCUGGGUUCCACUUGUUCCACCCUGGCCUGGAAACUCUCCACAAGCAAUAAACAAAGGCAGUCACAGCCAUCGCCUGGCUUCUCACCUCUCAGGGAAACUUGUCCUUUGUCACUUCAUGUCUACUGUCUUAAAACCCAUUAUUGGAGGCCAGGUGCCUUGGUACACACAAUCCCUGGGACUCAGGAGGCUGAGACCGAUGUAAGUCAAGACGGCCCCAGCAACCUAGCAAGGCUGUCAGUGACUUCGUGAGACCCUCUCUCAAAACAAAAAUGACUGGGAUGUAGCUCAGUGGUAAAGCAGGCCUGGCUUCAAUCUUCAGUACAAAAAAAACCCCAUAAUUUGAUAUAUUAUUCCUAUUUAUUUUGGCUGUUUGAAUUAAGAAGCUGAGUCUGAACCCUGUUCCUGUAUACUGAGGGGAGAUUUUUUUUGAUGGUGAUGUUACUUACUUCUAUUCUCAAUAAAAACUAUUGAUUGCACAGAGUUUUCACUCUAAACUACA